rnacentral:rRNA from 1 species
GACGAACGCUGGCGGCGUGCUUAACACAUGCAAGUCGAACGGAAAGGCCCUGCUUUUGUGGGGUGCUCGAGUGGCGAACGGGGGAGUAACACGUGAGUAACCUGUCCCUGACUGUGGGAUAACUUCAGGAAACUGGGGCUAAUACCGGAUAGGAGCUCCUGCUGCAUGGUGGGGGUUGGAAAGUUUCGGCGGUUGGGGAUGGACUCGCGGCUUAUCAGCUUGUUGGUGGGGUAGUGGCUUACCAAGGCUUUGACGGGUAGCCGGCCUGAGAGGGUGACCGGCCACAUUGGGACUGCGAUACGGCGCAGACUCCAACGGGAGGCAGCAGUGGGGAGUAUUGCACAGUGGGCGGGAGCCUGAUGCAGCAACGCCGCGUGCGGGAUGACGUCUUUCGGGUUGUAAACCACUUUCGCCUGUGACGAGGCGUGAGUGACGGUAAUGGGUAAAGAAGCACCGGCUAACUACGUG